CUCUCUCUUUCCCCCGUCUCCUCCCUCUCAAUCCUAGCCGCCACCACCCACCCUCUACUGCUCCACCACGCACCCACCUCCCCCCCUGGAUUAGGUGCAGGCCGGCCGGUGCGCGCAGGCGGCGGCGCUCCACUCGAGGGCAAAGGGAGGCAACGGCGGUGGUGGUCGCCGUGGACACCCAUCUCUCUCCCCCGCAGACGAACCCCGCCGCAGGAGGCCGCCAUGGAGGCCCGUCCCGAGCUCGCCUCGCCGCUCCUCCGGUGACCUUCGUUGCGCCUGGAUCCGGGCCGAUCCGACGAUUCCCCGACGCGCAGGCGGGCCGGCACGCGGCGCUAGGCGGAGGAGCCCUCCCAUGGCGCCGGCGGCUCUGGAGACGAGGGCUGCACAGAUGAAGAGGAGCAACAUCAGCUCGAGCUGCUGGAAUUGGCAACAUCAGCAAAGAUUUCAGCGGCAAGGAGUGCUUGCCGUAGUGGAAACGAAGCAAGAAUUAGAUGGAGCUCAGGAUUUUUCUACUACCUUGUUAAUAGCUUUGUGAGGGUGUAGGCCAAAAUGCUGGAGUUCGUGAUAUUCCUGCAACUAACAAGCCAUAUAUGCUCUGGAUCAGGCUGUGUGGCAGCUGUUUGACACGCGCAUCCACAUUCGUUUUCGUGACCUGGAAGCGAGGCUGCGCGCGUUCGAGCUACUUAAAAAAUAUGUGUACAGUGGGUGAUUAUACAGAUUCUGUUGUCAUGUUCCUUUGUUUAAAAUCUGGGAACCUGGAUCCAUUCAGGCCUAUCUAGGUGAAGCGCCGCACGAGUUAAGCAGAGGCGACUUUGAGGAUUUCACCCGACAGACUAAAGGGUUUUCAUAUGGGGAUAUCGCUGUGUGCGUAAGUAUCUCGCGUGCGGUCAUCAUGGGAUGAUGAUCUGGUUGUCAGCAAGUGGAUACCAUGCCGCUCCGAGGAACCAGGCGCUCUAAGAUGGACAAUGCAUGAGCUUGCGAUGGGAGGCUUUUCCUCACAGAUCGUCGCACCUGCAGUACUCAUGAUGGAUGUCCGGGACGUGAUCGCAAGGCACAAGCCAAGUGUUAGCAUGGAGGACCUGAGCAGUACGGAAGGUUCAAUGAGGAGUUUGGCAAGCAGGGCUGGUCAUGAAGAUACACAGAGAGAGUACUCCAUUGGUACUGAAGAAAUACUGCACGAAUAUGGUUGGUUGUUGUUCCUUGGAAGAAGUAGGAUUCGCGCGUCCAAACUCGAGAGGUGCCCGCUGCUGAUAUACCCGUAAACAAAUAAAUCCACCGGCGAGAAAUGCUUCAUAUGCUGCUUCUUUUUUUGUUCUGUCGAUUCAGACUUCCUGUAUCUUGAGUGGCUUUCACCAUUGGGCAAUUCAAGCGAUGGAAGGGGUGUAUGUGCUUUUGCAUAAAUGUAUAACCGUAUAAGUGCAAUAUAAAGGCUACUUAGAAGUAUAUACAGUAAGUUAUCUACUCCCUGCUUCAUGACCUGGAUAAAGAAUAUAUAAUUAGCUUUUGGCUUUAGGAACACUUCAUCAGUUAGUACCUCUGCGAAAGAUGAAUUAGCCAGAAAGAAGAUUCAAAUCCACUAAGUUAGAGGUCGAUUUAUCGCCUUGCCCAGUCCUUCUGUUUUUCUAUGUUGCAGAAUAGGAAUGCCAUAUAUGUUCAUUUAUUUCCUCUGCGCCAUUUUAAAUUCUACACCUUAUUUUUUAUUAUGAUGAAUCAUCAAUAUCAUACAUUUGUUACUCUUCCUGAUUAUACAUAUUCUUUUCGGGCAUAGAUUUAGAAUGAUUUUUUCAUGUUCUUGCAAAGCAGAUGUGUUAGAAAACUAUUGCUAUUUUACUACUUUCAAAUGCUACAACUGUCGAUACUAAAUUUCGAAGAUAUAUUCAGGAAACUAAACAAGAUGAUGAGGAAACUGUUGCUGCAGCUGUUGAAGAUUCAAAUAAUGUUUUGUGUGACCAAGCUAAACGCAAAAGGUAUAGACUCAUACUCUGUUACAUUUAACCAGUUUCAUAUAAGAUGUGUGUCAGUGUAUGUGCUACUGAACUUGGUGCGACAACUAUUGUUUGUACAUCGGAAAGAAUGCUUCUUCUUAUCCUUCACUAAUGCAUGCUAUUUGACCAGUCUUUCUUUUUUGAUCACUGAAGUGUGCAAGUUGAUUAACUAUCUAAUAAAAUGAACUUCUACUUUUAGGGUCCAGUGGGUGUUCUGUUUGACGUUCAUUAAUUCUCUGGUUUGUUUGCUGUAACAUGUACAAGCAAUGCUUACUGCUCCUCACUGAUCAUACAAGAUAAAUAGCCUUUUCUAUUUCUCACUGAUACGCACAAGCUAAUUAACCAUCGAAUAAAAUGAGCUGUGUUUUCAGAUUCGGUAGUUCUUCUGUUUGUUUAUGUUAUCCGCUGUUUGUUGUUGCAAACCGUCCUUGUUCUUUUUGUUCCAUCGUAUGCAUCUAGGUUAUUUGCACUGAAAAUUGAAGUACUCACAUGACUGUUACUUUUGCUAAUGAAUGCAUCUUAGAACUAAUACUGGUGCUAGCUCUGCAAAGAAAGCAAGGCGGUAGCUUUUCCAUGCCGUAGGUUGGGUGUGUACAUACGGUAUGGCCAUCACUACAUGAGUUCUAUUCUUCGUACAAUCACAAUAGAUCUGGUGUCAAAACAAAUUGAUUAUAGUCCAUCUUCAUCGGGGUAUUUUUGUGUGUUCCGCUUGCUUCUCAAGCUCGGUCUGCCACUAGGAGGUUGUGUUGCUGAAGGGAGCUUCUUCACUGUAUCGCAUCGCAGCAAUGGUCUGGCCAUCGGGUCUCAAGAUUGUACCUUGGCACACUUUUAGGCAUGCACCUGAUGUAUUUUGUGCAUGUUUGCAAAGCAAGACUUUGACACUCGAAGAACUAUGUCAAGCCACUGUCAAUACAAUCCCCUUAUUUAGGUCCUUGAACAAGUGGACUCUUAUGAGAUGUAAAUAUCAUCGUUGGCCCAGCGGGCGUUGACUCUACUUGAUAUUCAUCGCUGAGUACCUUAGUCACGUAAGCUAAAUGACCAAAGCUUUCUAUACGAUGGACCUCUGCCUAUGUAGCUUGCCUUAUAAAAGCAAUGUAAAUAAGCUAUCACGAACUAAUCUUAUACCUUUCCUAUAACGCUAUGUAUCAACUUCAUAUCUAAA